rnacentral:rRNA from 1 species
UGUGCCAGCAGCCGCGGUAAUACGGAGGGUGCGAGCGUUAAUCGGAAUAACUGGGCGUAAAGGGCACGCAGGCGGUGACUUAAGUGAGGUGUGAAAGCCCCGGGCUUAACCUGGGAAUUGCAUUUCAUACUGGGUCGCUAGAGUACUUUAGGGAGGGGUAGAAUUCCACGUGUAGCGGUGAAAUGCGUAGAGAUGUGGAGGAAUACCGAAGGCGAAGGCAGCCCCUUGGGAAUGUACUGACGCUCAUGUGCGAAAGCGUGGGGAGCAAACAGGAUUAGAU